GACGAACGCUGGCGGCGUGCCUAAUACAUGCUAGUUGAGCGCUGAAGGUUGGUACUUGUACCAACUGGAUGAGCAGCGAACGGGUGAGUAACGCGUGGGGAAUCUGCCUUUGAGCGGGGGACAACAUUUGGAAACGAAUGCUAAUACCGCAUAAAAACUUUAAACACAAGUUUUAAGUUUGAAGAUGCAAUUGCAUCACUCAAAGAUGAUCCCGCGUUGUAUUAGCUAGUUGGUGAGGUAAAGGCUCACCAAGGCGAUGAUACAUAGCCGACCUGAGAGGGUGAUCGGCCACAUUGGGACUGAGACACGGCCCAAACUCCUACGGGAGGCAGCAGUAGGGAAUCUUCGGCAAUGGACGAAAGUCUGACCGAGCAACGCCGCGUGAGUGAAGAAGGUUUUCGGAUCGUAAAACUCUGUUGGUAGAGAAGAACGUUGGUGAGAGUGGAAAGCUCAUCAAGUGACGGUAACUACCCAGAAAGGGACGGCUAACUACGUG
rnacentral:rRNA from 1 species